UAAGAAAUAGGAAAAAGAAGAUAAAGAUAAAGAUAUCAUGCAAGCAAAGGUAGGAUUAGAAAUAGGAAAAUAGAAGAUAAAGAUAACAUGCAAGCAAAGGUAGGAUUAGAAAUAGGAAAAAAGAAGAUAAAGAUAACAUGCAAGCAAAGGUAGGAUUAGAAAUAGGAAAAUAGAAGAUAAA